CCAGAACAUAGUUUAUAAAAAUAUUAAAUUUGGAUUUUAAAGAUAGUGUUUAAACGCACUUGUUUUGGG
rnacentral:tRNA from 1 species